UACGAAGGCCCCGAGCGUUAUCCGGAAUUAUUGGGCGUAAAGGGUGCGUAGGUGGUUUUGCGCGUCUGUUGUUAAAUGUCACAGCUCAACUGUGUCACCGCAAUGGAUACGGCAAGACUAGAGGGUGCGAGAGGUCUGUGGAACUCACGGUGUAGGGGUGAAAUCCGUUGAUAUCGUGGGGAACACCAAAGGCGAAGGCAGCAGACUGGCGCAUUUCUGACACUGAGGCACGAAAGCGUGGGGAGCAAAAAGG
rnacentral:rRNA from 1 species